rnacentral:lncRNA from 1 species
GCCACUAUCACUUGUUUCUGCCCCAGCAUAGUUUGAGAAAAGGAAGGACAGCAGCUUCAGGGAUGACUUCUGGUACAGCCCCACAACAGUUUCAUUCAGGGGAUCCUUGUUCUUCUCAAGCCAGCCAGAGAUGUUGUAGUCCACUGUGCCAGCAUAGUGCACCAGGGAGAAGUGGGCCUCAGCCUUGCCUUUGGCAGGCUUGGGCUUCUGGAAGUUGUUGGACUUGCCCAG